CUAAGAAUAUUCCGCAAUGGACGGAAGUCUGACGGAGCGACGCCGCGUGGAUGACGAAGGCCGAAAGGUUGUAAAGUUCUUUUGCUGGGGAAGAAUAACCGCAGGAGGGAAUGCCUGUGGGAUGACAAGAACCGGCGAAUAAGCCCCGGCCAACUACGUGCCAGCAGCCGCGGUAACACGUAGGGGGGCGAGCGUUGUUCGGAAUUACUGGGCGUAAAGGGCAUGUAGGCGGCUUGGAAAGCCUGGCGUGAAAGUCUGCAGCUUAACUGCAGGGGUGCGCUGGGAACUGCUGAGCUUGAGUGACGGAGAGGGAGCUGGAAUUCCUGGUGUAGGGGUGAAAUCUGUAGAUAUCAGGAAGAACACCGAUGGCGAAGGCAAGCUCCUGGCCGAUGACUGGCGCUGAGGUGCGAAAGUGUGGGGAUCAAACAGGAUUAGAUACCCUGGUAGUCCACACAGUCAACGAUGUGCACUAGGUGCUGGGGCGGUAGCUUCGGUGCCGGAGCGAACGUGGUGAAGUGCACCGCCUGGGGAGUAUGCUCGCAAGGGCGAAACUUAAAUGAUUGACGGGGUCAUAGCUGUUUCCU
rnacentral:rRNA from 1 species